AAAAAAAUUCCUCCACCAGUUCGCUCUACUCUGUUCCCCGUACACUUCGGUUCCAGCUCGCCGCCGCCGCCGCCGUCUUCUCGUCCGUCGCCGCCGUUCCCGUCGCGCUCUGAGGUGUGAGCUGCAGCGGCAGGCCGUGUACGGGAUGGGGAAGAGGAAGAGACAGGAGGAGGAGGAGCAAGCGCCGGCGGCAGAGCGCCUGCCCAUCGAGAUCCUGUCGAGGGUGGUCGACCCCUCUCUCCCUUUCUUGGGGAACUACGAGAAUGCCAUUCUCCUGAACUGCUGCGGCGGCAUUCUCCUGUGCCAAGGCUGGAAUCGGACCAUGGAAGCUCCGGAAUACUUCGUGUGCAACCCUGCAACCAACCGAGAAGAUCUGGUCGGUGCUGCCUGCACCAGAGCCUGUGCCGUUGCCUGGAGUUCAGACAAGCUACAGUUUCUGUUUGUGUUCCGACCCUGCCGCCCCCUCUCGCUUCCUCGUAUUCGUGUUCGUUCAGAGAGACUAUUACAUGACAGUAAGGGUCUACUCAUCUGAUACCGGAGAGUGGGCGUCCACGGCGAGCGGUCGCCGAAUGGUGCCGUAUGGUGGUGAAACAGUAUAUGACUUCUUUAAUGAUGCUCUGCAUUUCACUGCUUAUGAUCUUGGAGAUGAUACACCGGGGAAAGUAAUACCAUCGGUAUUUACAGUGAGCACGGACGGGGUUACUUGGAGGAGGUUUCGAGUCCCAUCUGAAGUUGAAUUUUCUUUCAUUGGGCAGUCUCAGGGGCGCUUAUACGGUAUGGACAUAGAGCAUUUCAUGAUUGCUUGCUAUCAGUUUGGGUGCUCGAAGAUUAUGCUAGUGGACAGUGGACCUUAAAGCACACUGCUUCCAUUAUGGAACUGCUAGGAAGGCCUUAUUGUGAGCUCGGUGAGCAAUUGAUGUUGGUUGCGCUUCAUCCAGAAUGUAACCUGAUUUUCCUUGUUGGUUGGAUGAGAUCGCAAGAGACACUUAUGUCGUAUGAUGUGGAUAGUCAGAAACUGCACGUUAUCAGCACCUUGAAGAUUACCAGAUGACAACAUUCCGACCUUACAUUCCCUGCUUUGCGGAAUGGCUGCCGUCAGAUGCUCACUGAAUUCCAGAGCAGCUUCACAUUUGCUAAGUUGGCAUGGCUCCUUCAUGGAAACCUGUUGUUGGGUAUGGUCCAGAUCUUCUAGCUUUGUUCAGUGGCUUGGACAAGUCCUACAUCUGCUCUAAUUUGGCUUUCUUAUCAGUUGACGUCCAGGUGAAUGUAUUUUUGUGACUUUGGAACAAUGUUGGCUAGGCAGUGAGAACUUGUAAGCGACCCUUCAAUGGGCUAUUUCUAGUAAUAUGAAUGAACUAAGCCACUUAAUCUCCU